CAGGCUUAACACAUGCAAGUCGAGGGGCAGCAUGGUCUUAGCUUGCUAAGGCCGAUGGCGACCGGCGCACGGGUGAGUAACACGUAUCCAACCUGCCGUCUACUCUUGGACAGCCUUCUGAAAGGAAGAUUAAUACAAGAUGGCAUCAUGAGUCCGCAUGUUCACAUGAUUAAAGGUAUUCCGGUAGACGAUGGGGAUGCGUUCCAUUAGAUAGUAGGCGGGGUAACGGCCCACCUAGUCUUCGAUGGAUAGGGGUUCUGAGAGGAAGGUCCCCCACAUUGGAACUGAGACACGGUCCAAACUCCUACGGGAGGCAGCAGUGAGGAAUAUUGGUCAAUGGGCGAGAGCCUGAACCAGCCAAGUAGCGUGAAGGAUGACUGCCCUAUGGGUUGUAAACUUCUUUUAUAAAGGAAUAAAGUCGGGUAUGGAUACCCGUUUGCAUGUACUUUAUGAAUAAGGAUCGGCUAACUCCGUGCCAGCAGCCGCGGUAAUACGGAGGAUCCGAGCGUUAUCCGGAUUUAUUGGGUUUAAAGGGAGCGUAGAUGGAUGUUUAAGUCAGUUGUGAAAGUUUGCGGCUCAACCGUAAAAUUGCAGUUGAUACUGGAUAUCUUGAGUGCAGUUGAGGCAGGCGGAAUUCGUGGUGUAGCGGUGAAAUGCUUAGAUAUCACGAAGAACUCCGAUUGCGAAGGCAGCCUGCUAAGCUGCAACUGACAUUGAGGCUCGAAAGUGUGGGUAUCAAACAGGAUUAGAUACCCUGGUAGUCCACACGGUAAACGAUGAAUACUCGCUGUUUGCGAUAUACUGCAAGCGGCCAAGCGAAAGCGUUAAGUAUUCCACCUGGGGAGUACGCCGGCAACGGUGAAACUCAAAGGAAUUGACGGGGGCCCGCACAAGCGGAGGAACAUGUGGUUUAAUUCAAUGAUACGCGAGGAACCUUACCCGGGCUUAAAUUGCAGAUGAAUUACGGUGAAAGCCGUAAGCCGCAAGGCAUCUGUGAAGGUGCUGCAUGGUUGUCGUCAGCUCGUGCCGUGAGGUGUCGGCUUAAGUGCCAUAACGAGCGCAACCCUUGUUGUCAGUUACUAACAGGUUCCGCUGAGGACUCUGACAAGACUGCCAUCGUAAGAUGUGAGGAAGGUGGGGAUGACGUCAAAUCAGCACGGCCCUUACGUCCGGGGCUACACACGUGUUACAAUGGGGGGUACAGAGGGCCGCUACCACGCGAGUGGAUGCCAAUCCCCAAAACCUCUCUCAGUUCGGACUGGAGUCUGCAACCCGACUCCACGAAGCUGGAUUCGCUAGUAAUCGCGCAUCAGCCACGGCGCGGUGAAUACGUUCCCGGGCCUUGUACACACCGCCCGUCAAGCCAUGGGAGCCGGGGGUACCUGAAGUGCGUAACCGCGAGGAGCGCCCUAGGGUAAAACUGGUGACUGGGGCUAAGUCGUA
rnacentral:rRNA from 1 species